rnacentral:misc_RNA from 1 species
UUUCCGUAGGUGAACCUGCGGAAGGAUCAUUAUUGUUUAACGGAGGUGCGAGGGCUGUCGCUGACCCGAAAGGUCGUGCACGCCCGAGGGCCCUCACACACAUCCAUCUCACCCCUAUGUGCACCACCGCGUGGGUCCCCCUUUGGCUUGUUCGGAGGGGGGCUUACGUUUUUACUCAAACUUUGUAUGCAGUGUAGAAUAUAUUUUUUGUUUUUGCGAUCACGCAAUCAAUACAACUUUCAACAACGGAUCUCUUGGCUCUC